rnacentral:rRNA from 1 species
GACGAACGCUGGCGGCGUGCCUAAUACAUGCAAGUAGAACGCUGAAGGAGGAGCUUGCUCUUCUGGAUGAGUUGCGAACGGGUGAGUAACGCGUAGGUAACCUGCCUGGUAGCGGGGGAUAACUAUUGGAAACGAUAGCUAAUACCGCAUAAGAGUAGAUGUUGCAUGACAUUUACUUAAAAGGUGCAAUUGCAUCACUACCAGAUGGACCUGCGUUGUAUUAGCUAGUUGGUGGGGUAACGGCUUACCAAGGCGACGAUACAUAGCCGACCUGAGAGGGUGAUCGGCCACACUGGGACUGAGACACGGCCCAGACUCCUACGGGAGGCAGCAGUAGGGAAUCUUCGGCAAUGGACGGAAGUCUGACCGAGCAACGCCGCGUGAGUCAAGAAGGUUUUCGGAUCGUAAAGCUCUGUUGUAAGAGAAGAACGAGUGUGAGAGUGGAAAGUUCACACUGUGACGGUAUCUUACCAGAAAGGGACGGCUAACUACGUG